UACAGAGGGGGCAAGCGUUGUUCGGAAUUACUGGGCGUAAAGGGCGCGUAGGCGGCCUGCUAAGUCGAACGUGAAAUCCCUGGGCUCAACCCAGGAACUGCGUCCGAUACUGGUUGGCUUGAAUCCGGGAGAGGGAUGCGGAAUUCCAGGUGUAGCGGUGAAAUGCGUAGAUAUCUGGAGGAACACCGGUGGCGAAGGCGGCAUCCUGGACCGGCAUUGACGCUGAGGCGCGAAAGCCAGGGGGGCAAACGGG
rnacentral:rRNA from 1 species